AUGGUCAAUUUAUCUCCUAGAUGUCAGCCAGAACACUGCCACACUCUCAGGCCUGUGCGUGCCCCAGCCACCUUUGUGGGACUGCUGCUUAGAGCUGCUUCUGGGUUAAGCGCCUUGUGUCUACGUAUUGCUGGGCUUAACACAAAGGUUCUGACACAAGCUGUUCAGGCUGCUAAGCUCUCGUGCCGCUCAGCUGUGCAUGGAUAUUCACCUCUCACCCCUUCCCCCAUCUUUGAUAUGCUGAAGACUUUUGGGUACCAGCAGGCUUCAGGAGCCAAAAACUGCCUGUGCUAAGGUGGAGGGGCCAGCAGUGGCCAUCUCAGACCUUCAGUGCUCCAUCAGUGUGUGGCUGAGCACAGAGCACAUCCUGCACUGAAACUUCCACCACAACCAUCACCAAAAUCACACAUGGCUCCCCAAAUCCUGUUUAAACUUCUUCCCUUUGGAUUCACCUUCUAGAAUACGCUGAGACCUGCAGCCCUUCACCCUGACAGCGGUGUUAUUUUCUUAAUCCACAGGCUCAGGAAGACAAUGCUAUACUUGUGAGAAGCCACCGAGGCUCUAAAGGGUUUCGUUUGGAAGAGCCUAACAACACGCACUGGGCUGUGGCAGUGAGGAGACUGUCCUCUGGGGGCUGGGAAGCAGCAAAAGGUGACCAGAAAUGAACAAGGCAGCCAUGGAGAGAAAGUGAACGUCAGGAAAAAAUGAAACGGGGCAACAGAAGAGUGCCAUAGCACAGGGACACUUUGUGCCUGGCUGGGAAGGGGACACAGUGCUCUGAAAGUGAUGACAGGAUGUCAUGGGUGGCAGAAGCCCUCCCACUCUCUUCAGUUCAUUGAUCUGCUUUAAAAACGGUUCACCCUACAUUGCUCACAUAAAGGUAAAAUCAGAUGUUUGACUGUAAAAAAAAAAAAAGGCAUUGCCUGAGUAGCACGGCCCAGGCACACUGAGUGUAAAACCAUUUAUAAAGAAGAGAGUAUUUUGAACAUUGGGUAUAAAAAGUGCGAGGUGGAACUGAAUUCCUUGCAAAAAAAAAGUUUCUCUUGCACUUAUUUCACUUUGUAAAUGGAAUGUCAAUUAGCCAUGGACAGGGAAACACUGGCAAAUGCUAAUUCUGCUGAAAACGCACUUUUUGGGCAAAUACCACCGCUUAAGAAUUUGAGUCAGAAAUCAGCAAAUCAGUUCAGCCAAAUAGGAAAAAAAGCAAAAGGUUAAACUGUUUUAUUUUGGUUUGUGAAACAAAGUUUUAAGUUUCUCAUUUUGAACUAAUUCAUUCUAAUGAUUAGGAUAAGGUCAUCAUCCAAUAUGCUAACUAACAUGCCAGGUGAAACAUUUCAUUACCCUUGACAACAAUUACCUCAAGGCAUUUUUCUGUCACUGACCAUUUCUACUGGACCUGUUCAGCUUACUUUGGCCACUCCACCAAGAGGAAAACCAACACUACCAAGCAGCUCUAACACCGCAUCAGAGGAGUAUCUCUCUGGAGAACACGGAAGACAGACAGACACUCUUGCUAAAGAGUGCCCACACAGAUUUCUGUUCCCAGAGCCCCAGCCUGCAGCAGGUGCCACCGGGGUAGGGCAUAGCUGAGGGGCAGCGGUGGCACUCGGAGCUGGGCAGAAGGCCUUUGCAAACAUGCAACCACACAGCUGAGGUAGGAGACAUCCUGCCAUGAACCACUCUGAGGGAGAAACCUGUGUGUUGAGAGUGAGAUCACGGGUGCUCAAGGUGAGAUACAGCCUCACGUACAAUGGAUAUAGAUCUGACAUUCCUCAUCAUCAGCCAAGUGGGAUUGCAUGGCCCUGAGCUGUAAUAACGAACAAAAUCAAGCUCUGGAUCUGCGGCAUAUCUGACUAAAGCUGGAAAAAGUCUGGAUUAAUCUCAAUAGAAUCAUUUCUUUGCAGAGUCUUUUGCACUCCUUUGACCAUAUUUUAUAUUAAAACCAGAACAAGAAGCCCUAAGAUCACCCAACAGACAAAAGGAAGCAAGGGAUGGAGCAGGGUCCUUAGUGCAGACAUGAUGAGCGCUGCAACCAGGAGCCCCAACUGCCCGUAUUGCUCCUCCACACAAGGGAGCUCUGCAGCAGCAUGGGGGGAGAGGAGAAGCAGGACGAGCUGCCUGUUCCAUGAUCGCGGACUUGCUAUCAAAUUAAAAGACUAAAAAUGGAGACUGCUUGCUCACCACCACACACAGUUUCUGACGUCACUCUCAAUUUUGAGAAGUCUGUUCUAACCCCACAUUAUGCAACUGUUGAAUAUUCCAGGCUGGCAAAGUCUAAUUUUCACACGCCUACAUGCUAUGUACCUGAUUUUUAUUUUUAUUUUUAAAUUUCAACAGCCUACAGCAUUUUUUUUAAAGACUUAAAUGGUCAUAGUGGUUAUAAAAGGUCCCAGCUUCAAAUGUGUCAUUUAAAAGGAUUAAAAGCAAGAGUACAAAAAGUUCAGUUUAAACAAUAAGCAAUGAUGGUAAUGCAAUGGAUGAAAUGAAAAUUCAUGGGACAAUGGCAGAAAAAAAACAUCUCCAGUAUGUGGAUUAUAGAGCCAUGUGCAAAAAUAAUUCAACGCGUUUCAUCUAUAACCCACAUCUUUUAAAGGUCACUUUUAUAAUAGAAAUGUGCCAAGAAAGAAAAAGUCCCUAGGAAAUAACAUGUAAACAUCACGGCGUGGCCAUUGAAUCAGUCACUUCUGGAAUGCACUCACCUUGGUGCUUCACCAAGCUUUCACCUGAUAGAAACAAAUACAAUAUCGUAUAAACACAAGUUCUUUCCUGAAUGAAUUCGGAUGCAGUGUAAACAGAAUCUCAAACCAGGGAACAGAGAAAGAAACGAAAGAAGCUAAUGGCAUUCCUAGGGAUAAAAGCAAAACUUGGGCUCCGGUCCUUCUCACAUCAGUGGGCGAUGCAGCGAUGUCCUUGCUGCAGUCCGGUGUAUGAGUCUGCAUUUCUCAAAACGUAUUUAGAGCUGCUGAAUAAACAAAGACUACACUUUCUGCCUUUGAGGUUG
rnacentral:lncRNA from 1 species